UACGUAGGUGGCAAGCGUUGUCCGGAUUUACUGGGCGUAAAGGAUGCGUAGGCGGACAUUUAAGUCAGAUGUGAAAUACCCGAGCUUAACUUGGGUGCUGCAUUUGAAACUGGGUGUCUAGAGUGCGGGAGAGGUAAGUGGAAUUCCUAGUGUAGCGGUGAAAUGCGUAGAGAUUAGGAAGAACACCAGUGGCGAAGGCGACUUACUGGACUGUAACUGACGCUGAGGCAUGAAAGCGUGGGGAGCAAACAGG
rnacentral:rRNA from 1 species